rnacentral:piRNA from 1 species
UAUUAUUAGGACAACAUGUAGAAUAUUGAUC